UGUAGGAGGGGUUUCUUGUUGGUGUGUGUGUGACUGGGGAGGCGGGAAGGGUGGCUGCCUGGCUAGCUGCCUUGGCCUGCAUGUCUGAGAGGUUCACUGGGUCCCUCUGUGCGCCCUCUUUCACCUGCACCCCCUUCCCUUCCUCCCUACUAUCUGUGCCCCUGAACCCCUGCUGUGCCCCCUAACUUUCCCACCCAGCCCCCCAAGACCUAUGCACCCCGAACUCCUCUGCCCAGGUCCACAGGCCCAGGCCUGUCCCAUAGGAUUGCAGGGGGCUCAGCUGGGCGAUUCCCUCCCCCCGACGCCCCACCCCAGUAAGAGUUGCGCCCCCAAGUGGGCCUGAGCAGGACCCAGUGAACCUCUUCAGCAUACACGCACCUUGGGGUGGAGGUGGUGACAGCCAUCUGUCUGUCGCCCCCCACAUACCCAGAUGUCCCCCAAAGUGCUCCCUCUGCCUGAGGGGAGGGGGCAGUUCUGGGGGAGGCUGGUGGGGGCCACGCCCCAGUAGGCAGCAGGAGGGGGUCUCUGUCUGGGGGGGCGGGGGGCGCUGAUGAAGGUUUUCCUGCGCCUGGGGGCGUGCCUGGGGCCGGGAGGUCAGGAGGGAGGGGGGCUGUCCCGGACUCGGUGGUACUGUCUGCCUGUCAAGCCCCCAGUGACCCUGACUGAGGAGGCCGAGGAGGGAGUGAUCUACACAGUGACCACGCGCCAGCCCGGGGGCACCCAGCCAGGGGCCCCGGGGGGG